rnacentral:rRNA from 1 species
AGUGAACGCUGGCGGUAGGCCUAACACAUGCAAGUCGAACGGCAGCACAGUAAGAGCUUGCUCUUACGGGUGGCGAGUGGCGGACGGGUGAGGAAUACAUCGGCAUCUACUUUUUCGUGGGGGAUAACGUAGGGAAACUUACGCUAAUACCGCAUACGACCUACGGGUGAAAGCAGGGGAUCUUCGGACCUUGCGCGUUUGGAUGAGCCGAUGUCGGAUUAGCUAGUUGGCGGGGUAAAGGCCCACCAAGGCAACGAUCCGUAGCUGGUCUGAGAGGAUGAUCAGCCACACUGGAACUGAGACACGGUCCAGACUCCUACGGGAGGCAGCAGUGGGGAAUAUUGGACAAUGGGCGCAAGCCUGAUCCAGCCAUACCGCGUGGGUGAAGAAGGCCUUCGGGUUGUAAAGCCCUUUUGUUGGGAAAGAAAAGCAGCAGGUUAAUACCCCGCUGUUCUGACGGUACCCAAAGAAUAAGCACCGGCUAACUUCGUG